ACCGAUCCAAAGGAUCCAGGCGAGUUUCUAUCAAACUAGCCCACUAUUACAAGAUCAAAAUCUACUAUGCUACUCUAGGCACAAGGUAGUAACGUUAACAUGGAUAUUAAGUUUCCUGCGCAAAGUGCAUCUCAUGACUAUGUUAUAUAUUAUAGUGUCUUUCAAACAAGGGUCUAUGCACUUUUGAGAAAAUAUCAUUUCAUUCCUUGCUCUCCAUAUAGCAUAUAUAGUUUCAGCUGCAGCUAUCUUUAAGAUNNN
rnacentral:lncRNA from 1 species